UGUAAGCGUAUACCAAAGUUGUUGCAGUUAAAACGCUCGUAGUCGGAAUUUGGCAGUUCCGGAUGUGUGCACGUCGUGUGCGCACUUCGCGGGGAGUGCUUUUGUGGUCUUGCGUAGGAUGAGGCACUUUUAUUAGUGAACGUCCUCACGCAACCACUUUUUACUGUGAGAAAAUCAGAGUGCUCAAAGCAGGCAUUUGCCGUGAAUGUAUUAGCAUGGAAUAAUAGAAUAGGACUUGGUUCUAUUUUGUUGGUUUGUUGGGACUGAGUAAUGAUUAAGAGGGACAGUUGGGGGCAUUUGUAUUUCGGUGCUAGAGGUGAAAUUCUUAGAUUACCGAAAGACAAACUGCUGCGAAAGCGUCUGCCAAGGAUGUUUUCAUUGA
rnacentral:rRNA from 1 species